UAAGCUGAAACAUUCACCCUCAAAUUAACCUUUGUAUCUUACUGUGAUCUAUCCACCUUCCAUCUUAACCACAGACAUUAUUAGUAUGGAAUACUAUUCCUACACACUUCCCUGCAAACACUUUUGAAUCCACGUGCUACAAAACACAAUCUUCUAAAGCCUGAUCUGGAGGUUUCAGUUUCAGAGGGAGAACUUCCAUCGCCUGAUGGCCAGGAGUGAGAAGAAUUCUUAAUUGUUUCAGCUUUGUUAAUAAUUUUUGUAUGCUGAUUGCUUCAAUGCACCAGUACCAGCCAACACAGGAAGAUCCGAAACGCAGGAAUCGUGAGUUCCACUAGGUACAUCAGGCUACUCAUGACUUUGAACUAUUCAAGGGUGCAGUCAGGUGGCAGCUUUACAGUGCAGUAGCCUUCUCAGGAGCCCCAAGGCAUGGACAGUCUUCAGUGAAAUGGAUUGUUUCCUGCCUGGAAAUCUCAUGCAGCUAUUACAGAGAGGAGACAAGAUGCUCCAGUGAGCAAUCAAGUGAAAAGAAGUCUUAAGUUGUGGUGACUAAAAAUAUCCUGGAACUACUUGUAAGUAA
rnacentral:lncRNA from 1 species